GACGAACGCUGGCGGCGUGCUUAACACAUGCAAGUCGAGCGGUAAGGCCCUUCGGGGUACACGAGCGGCGAACGGGUGAGUAACACGUGAGUAAUCUGCCCAUCACUUCGGGAUAACUCCGGGAAACCGGUGCGAAUACCGAAUAUGACCACUUCAGGCAUCUGAUGGUGGUGGAAAGUUCCGGCGGUGAUGGAUGGGCUCGCUGCUUAUCAGCUUGUUGGUGGGGUAGUGGCCUACCAAGGCUUCGACGGGUAGCCGGCCUGAGAGGGUGACCGGCCACACUGGGACUGAGACACGGCCCAGACUCCUACGGGAGGCAGCAGUGGGGAAUAUUGGACAAUGGGCGAAAGCCUGAUCCAGCAACGCCGCGUGAGGGAUGACGGCCUUCGGGUUGUAAACCUCUUUCAGCAGGGACGAAGCGCAAGUGACGGUACCUGCAGAAGAAGCACCGGCCAACUACGUG
rnacentral:rRNA from 1 species